UAUGAGUGGUACAGACUUACAUGAAACACUUAUGAAUAUGUGAUGCCAGCAGCUGAUGGAGACAACAGAGAAAUCAGAGUCUCACAAGGAGGCGUCUACAAGUGCAUAGGAAAAAGAGGAGAACCACCCGCUUACACUUAUGCCAGUGAUGAUGUCACCAUUGAGAUAACUUUUUCCAACAAGGCUGCUGUAAAAAGGCAGCAUGACUGGCCUGAGAUAUUCAAAGGAGAGGAGAUCACUCUGACAUGUGAGAUCCAGGCUGGAGGAGACACUGAGUGGGAAUAUGAAUGAACCCAAGGCAACUUAAGAAGAACUGCAGAUGGGAGUAAACUCUGGGUUUUCACUGCUUCUGGUUCCAGUAGUGGAGACUACAAGUGUAGGGGUCGACAGAAAACCAACAGUUAUUCCUUCACAGCAUGGAGUGAUCCUCUACGUUUGACAGUAACAGCAUCUAAACCAAAGGCUGAACUGAGAAGUGAUGAGACAGACAUCCCAGUAGGGGGCAGUGUGACGCUGAGCUGCUCUGUGACGUCAUCAUCUGGUUGGAAAUAUUAUUGGUACAGAGGAGAUAAAUCUUCUGAGGUCCUGAUCAAACAGGAUGGUGAAACCAGUGUCUCUCAGGAAGGACUGUACUGGUGCAGAGGAGGAAGAGGAAACCCAGUUUACUACACACAGUACAGUGACUCAGUGAGGAUCAACA